CUGCUGCAGUGCUUGGAGUCCUCAGGAAGCGCUAGGAGCAUCCUUUAACGGAGGUACCCAGUCGGGGUGCCAGGUGAUCCGUUACAAUAUGCUUGAGAGCAUUCGUAUGCUUCUCCGGUUUGGUGGUUGUGGUGUCUGCUGCAGUGCUUGGAGUCCUCAGGAAGCGCUAGGAGCAUCCUUCAACGGAGGUACCCAGUCGGGGUGCCAGGUGAUCCGUUACUGA